UGUUGAAGAAAUGAGAGCUGAAGAAAAUGAAGCUUCUUUUAUGAUGCAUGAUUUAAAUUUUUCAAUCUACUUUUUUAUGAAGGCUCACAUGGUUGAAGAUGCCGUAAGGGCUUACCGAAAAAUGCAGGCAAUGAAGAUCCAUCCGACGGUGUCAACUUUCAUGAAUCUGCUUAAUGGGUAUUCUUCUUUAGGGAUGUAUCGUGAA
rnacentral:misc_RNA from 1 species